rnacentral:rRNA from 1 species
CUACGGGAGGCAGCAGUGGGGAAUAUUGCGCAAUGGGCGAAAGCCUGACGCAGCAACGCCGCGUGGGGGAUGAAGGCUCUCGGGUUGUAAACCCCUUUCAGCAGGGACGAAUCAAGACGGUACCUGCAGAAGAAGCCCCGGCUAACUACGUGCCAGCAGCCGCGGUAACACGUAGGGGGCAAGCGUUGUCCGGAUUUAUUGGGCGUAAAGAGCUCGUAGGCGGCUCGGUAAGUCGGGUGUCAAAUCCCCAGGCUCAACCUGGGGCUGCACUCGAUACUGCUGUGGCUAGAGUCCGGUAGGGGAGCAUGGAAUUCCUGGUGUAGCGGUGAAAUGCGCAGAUAUCAGGAGGAACACCAGCGGCGAAGGCGGUGCUCUGGGCCGGAACUGACGCUGAGGAGCGAAAGCGUGGGUAGCAAACAGGAUUAGAUACCCGGGUAGUCC